rnacentral:misc_RNA from 1 species
UUUCCGUAGGUGAACCUGCGGAAGGAUCAUUCAUAAUAAGUGUUUUAUGGCACUUUUUUAAAUCCAUAUCCACCUUGUGUGCAAUGUCAGGGUUGAUUUUUCUCUCGAGAGGAUCAACCCCAAACAUCAACUAUAUCUCAACUCUUUGUCUGAAAAAUAUCAUGAAUAAAACAAUUCAAAAUACAACUUUCAACAACGGAUCUCUUGGCUCUC